AAGUGUAUCCUCAAGUUGUCUCUUUUUAUGUUUCCUUGCUUUAUCUAGUGCACCCUCAGCCUUCAUUACUUCUAAUUUAUCAAUCUGAUCUUUUAGUUGCUCCGGGUCCUUCUUUAAGAUGCCCACUUCUCUAACCUUCUUCCUUUCUUUCUUGUUCCUUUUCAAUUCGCGCUUGCGAAUCUCCUUGCGAUAAGCAUCGGUAGGGUUCAUAACUUUGCCUCCUUUGGUUGUCUUCAUCUUUCUGGUGACUGAUUCUUUCUAUCCUCUGCUGUUUUCUCCUUCGAUUCAACAACUUAGGCCGAUUAAACAGGCUAAACUGAGACUCGUGAUACAGAGAAUGAAGAAUUUUGGAGCAGAA
rnacentral:misc_RNA from 1 species